GGCUGCAUGGGCAAUCUCAAAUGCCACAUCUGGAGGCUCUCACGAUCAGAUCAAGUACCUAGUAAGUCAAGGGUGUAUCAAACCUCUGUGCGAUCUUCUAAUUUGCCCUGAUCCUAGGAUUGUCACGGUUUGUUUGGAAGGACUUGAAAAUAUCUUGAAGGUAGGAGAAGCUGAAAAGAACACAAGUGAUACAGGAGGCGUUAAUCUUUAUGCUCAAUUGAUCGAUGAUGCUGAGGGGCUAGAGAAAAUUGAGAACCUACAGAGUCAUGACAACACUGAAAUUUAUGAGAAGGCAGUGAAGAUCCUUGAGACCUACUGGUUGGAAGAGGAAGAUGAGACUAUGCCACCAGGUACUGCUUCGCAAGCUGGAUUCAGUUUUGGUGGCGAUCGGCCUGUCGUACCAUCUGGGGGAUUCAACUUUGGCUAAAAAGGCUUUCCCGUGGGGUUAUAUCGACAACAUCUCCAGUCACAUCGGGUCAGGUCAGGCGUGUUAUGUCGUUGUUUGGCUAUGCUUAUCCCAGUCGCAGUUGUUAUUUAGAGUGUUGGUGGAAUGGGUUGGAUGCUUUUUACAUGAGUUGGGGAUUGACUGGUGAUGAGACAGUGGAAUAUAUAUACUAUAUCAAUUGGUAAUAUAGUUUCCACAGAUCUAAGAAAUCGGAGCGAUUUCGUUUGGCAAACUCUGAUUUUUUAUUGUUUUUUUCUUAGUUGGUCUACUUGUCAUAAACAUGGAGUCUAAGCAUUGUUUUUUCCCCCAUUUACACUAUUACGCUCUUAUCAUUUUUUGUUCAUAGUUUUUCCAGAGAGUAACUUUUAGAUUUAUAGCAGAUACCAUUUUGGCUAGCUGGCGUCUAUAUGUUGUUAUUUU
rnacentral:misc_RNA from 1 species